GACGAACGCUGGCGGCGUGCUUAACACAUGCAAGUCGAACGGAAAGGCCCUGCUUGCAGGGUACUCGAGUGGCGAACGGGUGAGUAACCCGUGGGUGAUCUGCCCUGCACUUCGGGAUAAGCCUGGGAAACUGGGUCUAAUACCGGAUAGGAGCCAUUUUUAGUGUGAUGGUUGGAAAGUUUUUUCGGUGUAGGAUGAGCUCGCGGCCUAUCAGCUUGUUGGUGGGGUAAUGGCCUACCAAGGCGGCGACGGGUAGCCGGCCUGAGAGGGUGGACGGCCACAUUGGGACUGAGAUACGGCCCAGACUCCUACGGGAGGCAGCAGUGGGGAAUAUUGCACAAUGGGCGAAAGCCUGAUGCAGCGACGCCGCGUGGGGGAUGACGGCCUUCGGGUUGUAAACUCCUUUCGCUAGGGACGAAGCUUUUUGUGACGGUACCUAGAUAAGAAGCACCGGCUAACUACGUG
rnacentral:rRNA from 1 species